rnacentral:lncRNA from 1 species
AUCUAUACCUAGAGGCAAAAUUUUCUAGUGAUUACAGUUCACUAGAAGCAAAACUCUUUGAAUUUAAGCAUUAUUAAACAUCUGAAUAGAUCUGCAACACUGUUAAAAAGAAUUUCUCUUGAACACAGGGAAAAAAACUUUCUCAGGCACUGUUUGUAAAACAAAAGAAAGGCCACAAGCCACUCUGGGGCUGCCCAGAGCCAUGUAUUGACUCAAACGUAAAAUACUUUUUAAUCUGAGCAUCCCGGCCCUCCUGUAAUAAGGACCGAUUUUAGAGAAACAAUAUAACUGUCUACGCCUCUAAAUUUUGAUACUCUUUCUUAAGAUGACUUACAGUUAAAACGUUCUUCACAACUUUAGUGUUGUGAAAAAAUUGCCCGUACUACAGUUUUCUGCCAGGCAGCAACUAUAACCAAACUGUUUGUCUAAUCUAUUCACAAAGACAAACAUAACUAGAUAACUCUGUCACAGUUUUGUAUGAAGUGAGCUGUAUGAGCGCUCUCAUAAGAUGAUUACUCUUGUAAUUAUCUUAAUUACAAUAUACAGGUGAAUUAAAGAUCUUAAAUUUGAAAUCAAACUGCAAGCUGCAGUCAAUGGAACAAUAGCAGUUUUAACCAUAAUUUUAAAGUUUUUUGUGCAAGGUUAGGAUAAUACCUAUAACCUUGGGAAAGCAAAACCCAAGUUUAAAACAAUUUAUUAUCUUUAAAAUUAAUAUUAGAAGCAUUACUAUCAUAUUACGAAGUUUGGAUGUCAAUUAAUACCUAUGAAUACCUAUUAAAGCAAGCUUUAAUAAAAAGACAUUGCUUUAAAUCUUAUCUUAAAUUUUACUAUUUAGGAUACGAACCACAUUAAUUAUUACCUAAACUAGAAAUAUCUUUAGAGACCCAGCCUCUUGGCCUGCUUUAUGUCACGUGUUGGAAGGACUCUAAACUUGAGUUAUCAAAUUUAACACUAACCAUCUGUAGCAAUGUAACAAUUAUUAAUCUUAACCAACAACUUAUGAGCUGAAUGUGAAGACAUGCAGAGCACAUUUUCAAUAAAAAAGAACCAAAUGAAGCAGUUACAUUUAGACCAAUCAGAGAAUAAUUUUUGUAGCUACAAUCAUAGAAUAAAAAACACUUUACCAUUGUCAAACACAUUAAUCAUGAACCAUUUAUUAGCUUUUUUACUCCGAAACUUAGAGGCUGUGCACUCGCCCUUAUUUCCUAAAACGAACAGUUUUUUCAGCAGGGGCCCUCCCGCCAUGUGUCUGAUUUUUGGCUGAAACACGUGGCAGCUCUCGGCUUUGCAGAUAAAGUUUUUUAUACCAUCUUUAUUAUCCAACACAAAACAUAGAACAUUCAUUCAUACAGACUGGACACGAACAUACAUGAAUUGAACACGAGAACAGAUUGGUGCACCGGACAUUAGACAAGACACAAAAGGGAACAGAGUACUCCUGCUAUAAGGCCCAGAGAGAAAUUUCUCUCUGCUUUUUGGGACAUUUUCCUCCCUUAUGAUGCAUUUUUUAUUAACUGGGGCAAUCCGCCUGUUCCUUUUAAUAAACCCUUUCUUUUCUCACGCCUCAUGUAGCUUCAGAGAGCUACGGCCUACCGCCUAUUACCCAGCUCCUCACUGCUGAACCUAAGUGAACCAGCGCUCGGGUUUAACGCUGUCUCAGCUUAGCCCAUACCUUCUCCGGUAUGAAUUUCCUUUAUCCUUUAUUUUAUGGAGCUCCGAACCAGCAGCGUCUCUUCCAAAAAUCCUUUGCCGUUUCUCAGUCCCGCGUUGGUUCGCCAAUUGUUGUGUCCGGCCAGCAGACCACAACCUGGGUUCUAGCCUGGAAAGGCAUUUUGGAAACCUGGAAGAGAAGAGGGGCUAGGUGGCGAGAGAAAGGAAUGUAGCCAAGACAGUUAUUCUGAUCAAGGCUCAAAUUUUAUUGUUGCGACACUAGUUAUGAAGAAAGGGGGAGGGGACCCGAUUCCCGCUAAAUAAUCUCUGGUCCAGUAGAAAGGUGCACGUGUGUGGCUCCGCAGGUUCUAGCAGUGGGCGUGGCAGAACGAAUAAGCAGAAACCUGAGCAAGCAGGUUUCAGGCUGGGGGAGGAGAGACUACACAGAAGAAGAAAGGCUUAGGUAGGUCUUCAUUGGGAGAUUCAUUAUAGAAUGCUGAUCAGUGUAAAGUGAGGACUUAAUCAAAUCUAGGAGAAUGAGAAUUUCCAAGCUGAAAAUAAUUUUCAGGUCGAAAUGUUGCAAUGUAAGGUGAAAGAGAACUAUUGCACUUGGAGGAUCUUGUUAUAAGUAAGGGAUGAUAAAAUUAAAUGCAUUAAUAAGUUACUUAAUUGGAAAGGAGGUAGAGUGAUGAGAAGAUGUUGAUGAAGUCUAUAGAGAUGCUAAUAUAAGGUCUUCAUUAGGAAAACUGGAGAGUAGGAGUUUCAUUCGAAUUAGCAUAUACUUGGGAGAGAUGCAAUUUUGAGUGACUUAACUUACUUCUAGAGUCUGAAGAAAGAAACAAAGUGGGG